GCCGCCGCCGUUCGCGCCGCCAUGGAGGCCGUCCGUCGCCGCCACUUGCACCGCCGUGGAAUCAGCUCAGCCCGCCCAUUUUCCCCACUUGUUCAGCCUUGUAGGGAGCUUAGGAAUCCAAACCCCCGACCUUGAGAUGGAUUCCGACCCCGAGGAGGAAGAGCCGAUGGAGUGGGAGUCUGAUCCCGAGCCACUUACCCUUUUGUUGCUAGUGGCCGUUGACCCUUUUUGAUUUAAGUGCUUAUGCUGUAAAUGGAUAUUGUAUAUCUUCGUUGCUUAUGCAAGUUGUAAUUAUUGUUUGUGUCGCUAU